rnacentral:rRNA from 1 species
CAGCCGCCGCGGUAAUACGAAGGGUGCAAGCGUUAAUCGGAAUUACUGGGCGUAAAGCGUGCGUAGGCGGUGAGUUAAGUCUGCUGUGAAAUCCCCGGGCCCAACCUGGGAAUGGCAGUGGAUACUGGCUCGCUAGAGUGUGUCAGAGGAUGGUGGAAUUCCCGGUGUAGCGGUGAAAUGCGUAGAGAUCGGAAGGAACACCUGUGGCGAAAGCGGCUCACUGGACCAUUACUGACGCUGAGGCUCGAAGGCCAGGGUAGCGAAAGGGGUUAGAGACCCCAGUAGUCCCUGUCUCUUAUAC